AACGAACGCUGGCGGCAUGCCUAACACAUGCAAGUCGAACGAGAUCCUUCGGGGUCUAGUGGCGGACGGGUGAGUAACGCGUGGGGACCUGCCCAGGGGUACGGAAUAACUACGGGAAACUGUAGCUAAUACCGUAUGAUGCCGAAAGGCCAAAGAUUUAUCGCCCUUGGAUGGACCCGCGUUGGAUUAGCUAGUUGGUGAGGUAAUGGCUCACCAAGGCGACGAUCCAUAGCUGGUUUGAGAAGAUGAUCAGCCACACUGGGACUGAGACACGGCCCAGACUCCUACGGGAGGCAGCAGUGGGGGAAUAUUGGACAAUGGGGGCAACCCUGAUCCAGCAAUGCCGCGUGAGUGAAGAAGGCCUUAGGGUUGUAAAGCUCUUUCAGAUGGGAAGAUAAUGACGGUACCAUCAGAAGAAGCCCCCGGCUAACUCCGUGCCAGCAGCCGCGGUAAU
rnacentral:rRNA from 1 species